CCGGAGCAAUGUGGGGAAAUGAGACGACCGCAUUCCGGGUGACAUCUGCCGGAGGGCAUGGGGGAAGAAGAGUCAGAGCUUCGCCUCUCUGCCCUGCUUCGAGCGCAGCCGCUAUCUCUGCCUGCCGGGGGAGUGAGCCGAGCUGUGCGGGUGGCCCUUGCCCUGCGAGGGGCUGAAGGGCGAUCACGCUGGCGCAGAUAACUUUCAGAAGGUCAGAGGUAUCGCGGUGGCUGCGGCUGAUCAGUUGUGCUGGCAUUCACAGAUAACAGCUGAUCACGGGUAACAGCUGUCCUGUGCCUUUGUGAAGUCUGCACAAUGCGUGUCUUUACUUCAGUGUCCUCUGGAGAGGGAUAGGGCCCUUCAAGACAGGUGCAGCACAGCUUGACUGCACCCCAAGUGAGUUGGAGCUGAAAGAGCAACUCUCGUAAAUGACCUCAAGAGACUUUAGAGUAUGCCCCUAGUUUGAAAUGAUGGAAAACUUACACCAGAUAUAAGGAAGAAAUAUUUUACAGUAAGGAUGUUGAGGCACUGGAACAGGAUACCUAGAGAGAUGGUGGAAGCCCUGUCUUUGGAGAUGUUCAAGGAACUUGAAAAAGCAAUGAACAAGAGUGGCUUAGACACAGACACAGAAAAAUAAAGUUCUACUCGUUCAGAUUCAGGGUAUGUGGAGAAGAAAAACGAAUCAACAAAUCAUAUGGAUACCCAAAAAAAUAAACAGUACUUGAAUCAACUGCAUUAGGACAGCACAAAACUGAAAAGAUAUUCACUUCGGAAGAGCAACCUCUUAAAAGCUCUCUGAAAUGUUGUGACUUUGUCUUUUGCCUUCACUGUGAUCAGUAUAGGCAAAUAAUUAAAAUAAAUGAAUUUGAAACAUCA